UGGCGGCACGCCUAAACAUGCAAGUCGAACGCAGUAGCAAUACUGAGUGGCAAACGGGUGAGUAUAAUGUGGGAAUCUGCCUUUUGGUUUGGAAUAACACGAGGAAACUUGUGCUAAUACCGGAUAAGCCUUCACAGGGAAAGUUUUAUACGCCAAAAGAUGAGCCCGCACUUGAUUAGCUAGUUGGUGAGGUAAUAGCUCACCAAGGCAACGAUCAAUAGCUGUUCUUAGAGGAAGACCAGCCACAUUGGGACUGAGACACGGCCCAGACUCCUACGGGAGGCAGCAGUGGGCAAUCUUG
rnacentral:rRNA from 1 species